rnacentral:snRNA from 1 species
UUACUCUGGUUUCCCUUCAAAACGUAUAAAUCUUUCGCCUUUUACUAAAGAUUUCCGUGGAGGGGAACACUCAAAUGAUUCUAUCUCUAUUUUUGAAGCUCUUGGUCUAUCCAAGGGU